AGCAUAUCAAUAAGCGGAGGAAAAGAAACCAACAGGGAUUGCCUUAGUAACGGCGAGUGAAGCGGCAACAGCUCAAAUUUGAAAUCUGGCUCUUUCAGGGUCCGAGUUGUAAUUUGUAGAAGAUGCUUCGGGUGUGGUACCGGUCUAAGUUCCUUGGAACAGGACGUCAUAGAGGGUGAGAAUCCCGUAUGUGACUGGUCACCUUCGCUCAUGUGAAGCUCUUUCGACGAGUCGAGCUGUUUGGGAAUGCAGCUCAAAAUGGGUGGUAAAUUUCAUCUAAAGCUAAAUAUUGGCCAGAGACCGAUAGCGCACAAGUAGAGUGAUCGAAAGAUGAAAAGCACUUUGGAAAGAGAGUUAAACAGUACGUGAAAUUGUUGAAAGGGAAGCGCUUGCAACCAGACUUGCACGUAGUUAAUCAUCCGGGGUUCUCCCCGGUGCACUUGGCUACGUUCAGGCCAGCAUCGGUUUCGGUGGUUGGAUAAAGGCCUAGGGAAUGUAGCUCUCUUCGGGGAGUGUUAUAGCCCUAGGUGCAGUGCAGCCCACCGGGACCGAGGACCGCGCUUCGGCUAGGAUGCUGGCGUAAUGGUUGUAAGCGACCCGU
rnacentral:rRNA from 1 species